UUUAAGUGCAAACGUGAGUUUCUAUGUUUAAUUUUAAUUGUUUGUUUUAUUUGAAAAUUUUUAUAAUUAGUAUUUUUUGUUGUUAUGAGAUGAUAAAACAUGAAUAGUACUUUACUCGUGACUUAUGUUUUUAAUUUUUUUUUCAAAAAUUUUUCAAAUAUGACGGACGAUCAAAGUUGGUCGCGGAAAAUCAUACAUGGCUGCACUUAAA
rfam:Oryza glumipatula chromosome 1, whole genome shotgun sequence.